UUGAUUCACUUUUAGUUUUUAAAAAACAGUAUUUCUUUGCUUGUCCAUGCUCAAGCUCCAAAAAAAAUAUUUUGUUGCAGAUAAGAUAUGAAUGAGCUCAUCAAUGAUGUGACAAUCAAAACUCGUGAUGCUACAACUCGAUCAACAGCUGCAAGGGGACGUAAGCAGAAUGCUCGGGUUAACUAAGGUCACCGGAUUAUUGAAUAUGAAUGCAAAUCGGAAGGCAUUUUGAGUAAUUAAAAGCAAAUAUAUUUAGCAGUUGGGAGCACAUAUUGAGUAUACUUUGCAAAUUUUGAUUCACAUUGUGCAGCAAUGAAAAUUGUAGGCAAAUCAAUAGGUAA